GACAGCAGUACCAGGAAGGCAAUGAUGUAGCCAAGGGCAGCAUCAGCUGCUGCUGUCUCACUGAAACUGAUCCCCCUGUAGGACCAAAAGGCAAGAGUGAGUCUCAGAGACUGUGAGAAGCUCAGCCAGGGCUCAUCUGCGCUCAGUCAGGAUGCUGGAUCCUCAGCCCAGGAUGCAGGAUUAGAUUUACCAUGAUCUCAGAGCCCAUCACUUCCCACAACAGCCUUGGCUGCAGGUUAGAAUAACCAGGGAAGCAAUGAAAAUACUAGAGCGGGACCCAGCACUGACUUCCUAGGUCUGGAAUGUGGCCUGGUCAUCAGGGUUUGAUCAUCUACCUGGGCAGUUCUGCUGAGGAGCGAGGCCUGGGAACAGCUUGGGUUGAAAGGAGACUAUGAAGCAAAUCACUUGGUCUUAAAAAAUAUUUUUGAAAUUCAGGAUCUGGUUAUGGAAUGAUUUAUCUAUUCCAACAAGCAAACAAAGUUUACAAGUUUCUGAAAUAAAUAGAAAACUUUGGUUAA